UUGCAUUUUCAUAAGCGGAGGAAAAGAAACCAACCGGGAUUGCCUUAGUAACGGCGAGUGAAGCGGCAAAAGCUCAAAUUUGAAAUCUGGCGUCUUCGACGUCCGAGUUGUAAUUUGAAGAAGGCGACUUUGUAGCUGGUCCUUGUCUAUGUUCCUUGGAACAGGACGUCAUAGAGGGUGAGAAUCCCGUGUGGCGAGGAUCCCAGUUAUUUGUAAAGUGCUUUCGACGAGUCGAGUUGUUUGGGAAUGCAGCUCUAAGUGGGUGGUAAAUUCCAUCUAAAGCUAAAUAUUGGCGAGAGACCGAUAGCGAACAAGUACAGUGAUGGAAAGAUGAAAAGAACUUUGAAAAGAGAGUGAAAAAGUACGUGAAAUUGUUGAAAGGGAAGGGCAUUUGAUCAGACAUGGCGUUUGCUUCGGCUUUCGCUGGGCCAGCAUCAGUUUUAGCGGUUGGAUAAAUCCUCGGGAAUGUGGCUCUGCUUCGGUAGAGUGUUAUAGCCCGUGGGAAUACAGCCAGCUGGGACUGAGGAUUGCGACUUUUGUCAAGGAUGCUGGCGUAAUGGUUAAAUGCCGCCCGUCUUGAACCCGGGACCAA
rnacentral:rRNA from 1 species